rnacentral:lncRNA from 1 species
GGGGUGUCUAGACUAGUACUCUAGAAAAGAUUUCUAUUUCAUGAAAAAUCAAUUUUUUACAAUAAUAAACUAAAAUUAGGGGAGAAUAGGAAACUGCUCUUACCUAUAACAAAUUAAAAUCCCUAAAACCUUGAAGAUGUUUGAACAAUAGAAAUUCCAAGUUGAAAUCCCAAAAUCGAAUUUCUAAAUCUAGGGCACGCCUUUCUCUCUCCUCUCUUUUGCGAUUAUAGGACUCUUUCUUCUGAAGAUUUUAGGCCUCGAUUACUCUGAAGAUUUCUACCUCGAUGGAAGAUUUGGAGAAACUUUUCUUCAGAAUAAAAUGAAAAGUUGGAAAAGGAAAACUUGCUCAAUCGAAACAGCAAAAGCGAG